GAUGAACGCUGGCGGCGUGCCUAAUACAUGCAAGUCGAGCGAACAGAUGAGGAGCUUGCUCCUCUGACGUUAGCGGCGGACGGGUGAGUAACACGUGGAUAAACUAUCUAUAAGACUGGGAUAACUUCGGGAAACAGGAGCUAAUACCGGAUAAUAUAUUGAACCGCAUGGUUCAAUAGUGAAAGAAGGUUUUGCUGUCACUUAUAGUUGGACCCGAGCCGCAUUAGCUAGUUGGUAAGGUAACGGCUUACCAAGGCAACGAUGCGUAGCCGACCUGAGAGGGUGAUCGGCCACACUGGAACGGGAACACGGUCCAGACUCCUACGGGAGGCAGCAGUAGGGAAUCUUCCGCAAGGGGCGAAGGCCUGACGGAGCAACGCCGGGUGAGGGAUGAAGGUCUUCGGAUCUUAAAACUCUGUUAUUAGGGAAGAACAAAUGUGUAAGUAACUAUGCACGUCUUGACGGUACCUAAUCAGAAAGCCACGGCUAACUACGUG
rnacentral:rRNA from 1 species